rnacentral:rRNA from 1 species
UCUGACGGACACGCCGCGUGAGCGAUGAAGGCCUUCGGGUCGUAAAGCUCUGUUGUUAGGGAAGAACAAGUGCUAGUUGAAUAAGCUGGCACCUUGACGGUACCUAACCAGAAAGCCACGGCUAACUACGUGCCAGCAGCCGCGGUAAUACGUAGGUGGCAAGCGUUAUCCGGAAUUAUUGGGCGUAAAGCGCGCGCAGGUGGUUUCUUAAGUCUGAUGUGAAAGCCCACGGCUCAACCGUGGAGGGUCAUUGGAAACUGGGAGACUUGAGUGCAGAAGAGGAAAGUGGAAUUCCAUGUGUAGCGGUGAAAUGCGUAGAGAUAUGGAGGAACACCAGUGGCGAAGGCGACUUUCUGGUCUGCAACUGACACUGAGGCGCGAAAGCGUGGGGAGCAAACAGGAUUAGAUACCCUGGUAGUCCACGCCGUAAACGAUGAGUGCUAAGUGUUAGAGGGUUUCCGCCCUUUAGUGCUGAAGUUAACGCAUAACACUCCGCC